rnacentral:rRNA from 1 species
GACGAACGCUGGCGGCGUGCUUAACACAUGCAAGUCGAACGGAAAGGCCCUGCUUGCAGGGUACUCGAGUGGCGAACGGGUGUGUAACACGUGGGUGAUCUGCCCUGCACUUCGGGAUAAGCCUGGGAAACUGGGUCUAAUACCGGAUAGGAGCCAUUUUUAGUGUGAUGGUUGGAAAGUUUUUUCGGUGUAGGAUGAGCUCGCGGCCUAUCAGCUUGUUGGUGGGGUAAUGGCCUACCAAGGCGGCGACGGGUAGCCGGCCUGAGAGGGUGGACGGCCACAUUGGGACUGAGAUACGGCCCAGACGCCUACGGGAGGCAGCAGGGGGGAAUAUUGCACAAGGGGCGCAAGCCUGAUGCAGCGACGCCGCGGGGGGGAUGACGGCCUUCGGGUUGUAAACUCCUUUCGCUAGGGACGAAGCUUUUUGUGACGGUACCUAGAUAAGAAGCACCGGCUAACUACGUG